GUUACUCAAACUACAUCAUGUGGUGUGGCUAACUGGAACCCUAUCCUCUUUCCAAAAGUACGACGUUAUUGCAGAGGUUGCCACUGAGCUGAGGUACAGCGUCGACCACUUCCAGCAGCUGUCUAUACAGCAGCACAAGACGUUGUACAGGCGAGCCUUGGGCACCUGCAGUAGGUUCCUGAGGGCCGUCAGCUGCCGUGGUGAUCACAGGGAUGUCGUGCUUCCACCACGGGCUGCCUACCCCCAUUCAUCCUCUCCAGCUCCUACGCACCAGGCUGGUACAUCCUCUCAACCACCCGUUCAUCCGCCGUACCAGGACCCUGUACUGUACCACAGGCACAACUAAAUACCUAAACUAAAUCUAGUAUACUAACUAAACUACAUUUUCCUAUGUCUAAGAUCCACUAGAUUUUUCUAAGUCUUAGAUCCACUAAACUAACUACUAAAUCUAUAAUGCACUACAUCUAUCCACUGUACUAUCUACAUUACCUAAACUACGAGAUUUAAAAAAAAUACCUGACCCUCCCUCCCCUCCCUCCUUCCUUCCUUCCUUCUCCUCUUCCUCCCUUCCUCCCUUUCUAGCU
rnacentral:lncRNA from 1 species